GCCCGCAUUUGAAGGAAAACCCAUCCAGAUUCUGGCUGUUUUCCACCCAAAGGAAAGCGGGUCGGGGUGGUGCCACCAUGGCGUUCUCCCUGAUUGUGUCAUUGUGUUCCAGGCAGCUCCGGCAGAAGGAUCCUGGUCAGUUUCUGGGGAAAUUGACAGUUUCUUGUUUGGUGUUUUGGCUCCUGCUGUGAUUUCUCCAGCCACCUGGCCCUCGUGGAUUUAUCUUCUUCCCACCUAGAGAUCCGGCACGAAAACAAGAACUGACAGGCCGUUGAGACGGAGCGAGCUGCUGCGCUUUUCUGCAUGAUGCCUGGGAGUGAGAAGAUCAAAAAGGUUUUCCAAGUCAGUUUCACGGCUCAUCUUUACCCUGCAUCAAUGGGUAAAUGACUAGAGCCUUACCAAAGGCAACUUACAAAAACUCAUCAUCUAUUCCUGCUGUACAAUAUUCAUUUUGGGUGAGUGACCUCUAUGCUCUCCAUCAUUUCUGUGAUGAAUGCCUACCUGUGUUUCUUGUUUGGGGUGAUGAAGCAGCGAAGCCAUGUAUUUACCCUGCUGUCCCCUUUCUGAGGGAGGAUGUUUAUUCCUGCAGGACUGAGGCAGCUGAAGCACCUGGGAAAUUAUGUCAGCAAUUUCAGGUUUAUCCAGCCUCACUGCAGCCCAAAAUUUCACCAAAUCCAGGUUUACUUUGUAUUUUCCAACUGAAAUACAUAGGAGCAUCAGCAAGAUGCACUGGCAUCGAGGAUCCUGGGAAAGUUCAGUCAGAUGCUGCCUCCAUUUGCCUGAGUCUCAAGGGGCAGGGUGCAUUCCUUGGGUCACCUCAGAGGCAUACAAAGAAUGCAAAGACACAUUUUAAACUCUGA
rnacentral:lncRNA from 1 species